UUUCCAGCUUGGCAGGAGAACGCGGAAGUGGGUAUUGGAGGGAUUCGCUGUUGCUCUAGGGCCCCUCACCAUGCUGGCCAGGUGCCGCGCUGAGUUUCCUGCGGGCAGAGCCAUCAUCUUUCGUGGUCGUUAUGCUUGGAAUUAUCAGAGAUAUAAUUCCCCGUGUUCUGCCUCUGUGCUCCCAACCACCGUCUCCUUGCUGGCCGCAAGGCACUGCGACAUGAAUCUAUGAAAGAUACAACCAACUCAGAGAAUCUUGAAGAAAUGGACAGAUUCUGAUGCACAUGUCAAUGACAAAUGAUGAACCCAGAAGACAGCAAAGCUCUGGAAAAUCUGAUUACUAACAGUGAAAUUGAGGCAGUCAUAAUCUUCCUACCAAGAUAGGGGUGGGACCUGAGGGACUCACUGCUGGACUCAACUAGAGCUCUGGGGGGUUGGAGUCCAGAGGUCCCCAAGGGCACAGCGACUCUUCAGAGCGCCGCUUCUGCCUCUUGGCCAGCUUCCAGACUGUGCCCUACUGUGCUCCCUCACACCUCCACUCCCCACUCCGAUCACAGCCGACUUGUCCUAAAAAACUCAUUUUACCUUUGCCGCAAGAGCACGCUUGUAUUUCCCACCUGUCGUCCUAUGUUGAGGGGACUGCGGUGAGGGUUUCAUCUCUGGGACUUGCCGAGGAGACAUCGAGAGGGUGAGGAGCACAGACCAAAGUGGCCGGGCCCUGUGUUCAGCCAGGGUCCCAACCAGGCUGAGGAUGGAGGACCUGCAGAGCUGCCCACACCGUAGCUGGAACAUGGGCUUUCCCCAGGCAUCCCUUGCCCUUGCCAUGGCUCUGUCCCAGCCAAGAGGAGGACACGUGGCCUUGCAGGUUUCCUGUUUGGGCACACUGGCAGCUGUGUAGUGUGGCAGUGGGACACACAGUGGCUGGUUUUUGGGGCACUGGUGGGCAUGGACAGUGUGAAUUCUGCUCUGCUGUACAUUCCUUCCAUGCAGCCCCCACGAAAACAUUUGGUUUUCACUGCCUGAAACAUUCUUCCCCGAGCUCUUCACAAGGAAUGUCUCCUCCCCUAGGCCCUACCCAGGUGUCUGCUCCUCAACGAGGACUCCACUGUCAGGUGGUCCCUGAGAGGCAAGAGCUGCACAAGCUGUGGUGUCUUCUCCACAGUGGUCACACUGGGGCCUUGACAAGGGGACACUGAUGAAUAUAGUGGAGUUGCUGGAGAGAAGUAAAUAGGCAUGGAGGACUCAAGAUCUCCUUGGGUAACUGAGAAAUGGGUAUAUGCAGAAAAAGAGGGAAGGUUUGCCUCCAAUGCAGUGCCUGUGAGGUAAGGCAUGUGCCUGGAAGCGUUACAGCAAACAGAAACUCUGAAACAUCACCCAGAAUUUGGAGACAGAUUUAUUUACAUCAACAGGCACUGACAAGGAAUUAACCCUUAUGAAAAUGUCAGGCCCUCAUCUCAGGUGAUCUAGGGCCUAUAUGGAGUUUCCAAGUGGGAAGUAUACAGGAGCAGAGUACUUGAUUGUCUUUGAUUAGUUCUUAUACUAUGCAGGACAGUGACCAGUUGUUUCUAAGAAACAGAAGGAACAGGAACUGUAACUGGAACUGUUACCUUGCAACUAACAAAAAAUGAAGUAUACUGGCUGGGUUGUGGGAAGGGGUUUCUGCUACAGAAGCAUUCAGUUUCUUGUGCUGAAUUCCUACCCAUGCUCAACCAUGGAUUGGCCAUAAAAUAAGGUCUUGGGCCAGUUCUGUAGACCCUGGAGCUCAGCAAACUCUUCAGUCAGUGCGAAUAGCUUCACCUGCAUCAUGAAGCAGUCGGGAAGACUGAGGUAAUCUGUGUCAGGCACAUGAAACAGGGUCUGGGUAGCAAUGAGUGUUACUGUUCGUGGAAUCUAAGAAGUGCUGCGCAGAGCAGCAAUGCCCAGGGUCAGGGCUGCGCAGCACAGGUGACAGUUGUAUGGAGGUACUAACUCUGAUGGUUGUGUGAGGGACCUAGUGCACCUUCUUGAAUUUCCCUUCCUUGGCCUGACUCCGUCUUUUCUCAUUGCUGAGCAAAAUACCCAAUACGCACAAGUUAAAGGAGGAAAGGUUUAUUUAGCUCACAGUUUGUAGGUUUCAGUCUAUAGUCGCUGGUUCCAAGACAGGGUGGCUUUACAGAGGGACAUCAUGGAGGAAAAACAGUCCAUGGUGGGGCAGGCAAGACAUGGCAAGAAACAACCAGCAGUGAUCCUGCCUUCCCUCUCCUUUUAUAUUCAGGCUACAAACCUACGGGUAGGUGCCACCCCGCCCACAGUGGGGCUUCCUUUACCCACACCCAGAACUGUGUAAUUCCAGUCAGUGAAGUAAUCUAGUGCCAUAUACCCUUCAUCCCAGUAUUGCAUGUCCUGGGUCCAGCCAGCUCCAAAAGCCCCACCUGUGUGAGCAUGCGGCUUUGGAGGAGGCAGGAGGACAGGAGGCAUAACUCUCACCCAGGGCCCCAGUUUGAGUGACCAGAGCUCUCUGUUGUUUGGGUUCCUCAUGUCCAGUCUGGUCCUCUGUGCUGACCCUGGUGAGGGUGGGCUCUGGUGGUGCUAGCCUCUGGCGAGGCUCAGGUCUGCUGUUGGGGGCCCGGCCUCCUCUCCCUGCUGUCCCUCUGAGCGGCUAGCUCUUCCUGGAUGGGCACUGGCCAACAUCACAGUUGACAGUUCAUGUACUUAGAAUCACAGAGUGUUACUUUUUUGCGUAACAUCUUUGUGUUCAUGUACACUGAGCAGGCUUCGGUGUUUCAUUGCUUUGCUUAGCUGAAUAAUGUUCCCCCUAGGCAUAUACUGCAAUUUGUUUACCAUUUAUCCACUGAUGGGCACUCUUUUUUCACCUUUGGUGGUGGUGAACAGUGAUGCUGUGAGCACACCUGUGUAUCUGUGUAACACGAUGACCACUGUCGAUUCUUUUGGAUACACAAGAACUCAUCAACUUGUAGCUCCAGCUUCCUAAUUCUAAUUUUUGUCAAUUUCAUAUAUAAAGUGAAAAAAUGUAGCAACUACUUGUGCAAAAGAUUUUUGGAGGAUCACAUUUAUAGCCUUACAAUCUACCUUUAACUUAAUCUACAAGUUUAUCUCAUAGUUUUGCUCACCAUGUAUGUAUUUGUGUGUCAGUGUCUGAGUGUCAUGUGUAUUAAUGUCCCCUGGCUUAUUCAUAUCAGUAUUAGCAGAUUUUAUAUAAAAUACCAUUUCUAGGUCAAAGAGAUCCUGCUUCUUCCUGUAAGUGCUAACUCAGAAGGGUUAUUUGGAAAUCUGCAAACACAGAAGUGUAGCUAUUCUCAGUUACAUGUCAAUACCAGUGUUUCUCUCUUCAGGACAAGUGAGAGCAAAUGAGGAGGAGUCUUUGUCUUUUGUUGCUAACGUGUAGUUACUGUGACGCGACGUGAAUAACUGGAGCAGCUCAGGUGCAGACCACUCACUGAUGCAGAGAAACUUCUUGAAGAGGAACGCUGAUGGCCACUUCGCACAGGAUGGUUCCUCCUGCCUCUGCCUGUGUAUUGGCAGCGGCCUGCCUAGUAAUGUCAUCAUGCUCUUAGUCGUUAGUGGGAGUUCUGAAACCUCAGUCCCUCCACACAUCUUUGAAAGUGUGUGGGUCAAAGUAAAACAUCUGUGAAAAACUGUUUUUUAUUUUCAGUGAAGCAGUUUGAGGCUCUUGCCAGAGAUGCUCUAGCAGGCCCUUCCUCGCAUUUCGACAGAAGAGUUACAGCAGUGACUCCUAGGAGGGCACGGGUAAGACGUGGCCCUGGGGAGGAGGAAACCCUGCCCAGGGUCCCCAGCUCGCAGCAGCCAGAAGCGCAGCCCGCCUGGCUGCACAGUGAUGAAGGGCGCUGGAUUCUUUCCUGGGCUUUUCAGCUGGGAGCACCUGACCAGCGAGAGAGGCGUGCUAAGGUGAAUUUUAAUUAGGACUAAAUUGUGGUAUUACUCUUUCCUACCCUGAACAUCUGUUCCCUUCAGAAAUGAUGAUUUAUGCAGGCUAUCAGAGCAGACAGCCUGCUUCAGCUUAUGUCACGGGAGCUGUCCGAGGAGCCAGCGUUGGAUGGAGGCUGGCCAGGGCGAGGCGGGGAGCGGGGAGGCGGCCCGGCGUGUCCGUGUUCAUUCGGAAGCCAGACAGUGACUGGACUUCAAGGAAAAACUGUUUGACCAUCUGGCGUUGAUGAAGACGGCGCCUCGGAUAGUGAGCGGCUGCCGCUUCCUCCGGAUGGCCAGGCUUGCGGUGUGUGCUGGGCAGGGGCCGAAGACGCGGGUCUGAGUUGAGCUGCUCACAGUGGCUGCGGCAGGAAGGGGAGGCAAUUCCUGUUGAACCUGGAAUAGGAGUCAGAUCUCAGAGGUUUUAUGGCUUUAGAAAUGGCCACGCCCCUCCCCCUCCAAACGGCAGGAUCAGCUAAUAAGCUCCAAUCUGCAGGAAGACAUUACACCUGAGUAAAAGGCCACCUGUCUGGAAGUGUGCUUACUGCAAGCUUACCCAAUUAUUUUAGCAAAGCAAUGAUGUUUCUUUGGUUAACGUAACUGACCGUUUACUUAGUAAAAAGCUGCGCCUGUGCUGGCAGGGCUUUACUGCUGGGCUAAGUAUUAAUGAGGUGCUUAGAUGGAGGCCAGCCGACUGGCUUCCCAUCUUAGAUCUGCCUCUUUUCGUGGGGAAUAAAAAGACCUGAAAGCACCCUCAAUUCUUGGCAGAAUAAUCGCAGGCUAAGCAGAGUCUGAAACAACUAUAGUUUUACUUAAAAGCGAUCCUUUACAUUUAAAAAUAUAUUGGGGUGGGCAUGAGGAAAACUGCAUGACAUUCUGAAGAAAUAGGGUUUGAAUCCUCUCUAAUAUAUGCUGUGUUCCUUCAAAGGUUUUGAGUGUCAUUUACACACCAUCCUUGAUAUUUAAAAGUAACUAAUGGGUUCAGUGUGGUGGGACACACCUGUCAUCCAGCACGUGGGAGGCUGAGGCUGGAGGAUUCCUGUAAGAUCUAGGUCAACCAGGGCUACAAAGGGAAUUCAAGGCCAGCCUGAACUAAAUAUCAAAAGCCCCUCUCAAGAAACAAACAAAA